CAGCAGCCACGGGAAUACAGAGGGUGCGAGCGUUAAUCGGAUUUACUGGGCGUAAAGCGUGCGUAGGCGGCUUUUUAAGUCGGAUGUGAAAUCCCUGAGCUUAACUUAGGAAUUGCAUUCGAUACUGGGAAGCUAGAGUAUGGGAGAGGAUGGUAGAAUUCCAGGUGUAGCGGUGAAAUGCGUAGAGAUCUGGAGGAAUACCGAUGGCGAAGGCAGCCAUCUGGCCUAAUACUGACGCUGAGGUACGAAAGCAUGGGGAGCAAACAGGAUUAGAUACCCCAGUAGUCCCUGUCCCUAUACA
rnacentral:rRNA from 1 species